CCGGGUCACCUAUCCCUAUAUGUAUUGCUCCUCCAAGAAGAUCAACACAAAGCCCUAGCUUCAGAGCAUCGAUCGGACAAGUUGGUUGCUGAGGAGGAGGUGGUGGCCUCAUGCCACCUCCACCUCCACCUCCACCUCCACCUCCACCACCUCCGGAUGGUGGAUCACCACCUCCUCCACCUCCUCCACCUGAAUGAGGUCCGCCACCAGGACUGGGGCGACCACCUCCUCCGCCGCCGCCAGGUGGGGCACCUGGGUAAGGUGGGUAUGGAGAGUAAGGAGGAUAUACAACAGGAGGUGAUAUAACCGGUGGUGGAUUAAUAAUAAUAGGUGGCAUGAUUAUUGGUGGCCCUUUCCCGUGGCCUCCAUGGUGCGGUGGUUUCGUGUGUGGGGGUUUGGGAUGAGGAACUUUCGGGUGGGUAGGGCGGUGAUACGGUGGAUAUGG
rnacentral:lncRNA from 1 species